CUUUCAAAAAUGGAACUGAAGUGAGGAGCAAUUUAACAAGCAGUGCUGCAGUGAUGUGGAAUUCAGUCAUGACCAUGAGCAGCUGAGAGGAUGUGAUUUUGGUCCCAGCUUCACAGAAGAUGGAAGGUUCACCAGUGUGUCACUGCUCAGUCGUGCCAGCCUCCUGCCUCGUGCUUGAUUUCAUUCAUAAAGGGAUAGAGAGAUUUUUCACUUAGAAAUGCGUCCUUAAGGAGAUUUUCCUUCCAAAUAAUUUUGCCUGAAUUUUUAAAAAGGAAUUUCUGCAGUAAUACAGGCAAUAAAGUAUCUGUUUUAAUUUUUGUCUUUUAUUGCAGUCCAACUUUUUAUGAUGAAGUCAAGUUUAAUAUUCAGUCACUCUAGAUACUUGGUUAAGUACACAAUAUUCUUUUUUCUAAAACAGUGUAGAUGUCUAGGACCAGAUUUACAAAGAUGUUUAUGUAUCUAAAGACAGGCAUAUAGCAAAAAAAAAAAAAAAAAAUCUGAAAAGAAUGAGAUACUUAACUCCUUCUGGAAGGCAUGAACUGCAUAGGUCACCUUCAGAAAUAGAAGCUUAGAAUCCCAAGUAAGUCAAUCAGAAAUCUUACCUAGAUAGAAACUAACAAUGAAAGGUCCAUUCUCACCUGCACCCUGGCACAUUUUAAAGUGUAAUUUUAUGUAAUAUUUAAUUUAUAUUGAUUGUUCUUUCCUGGGGAUAUCUCAGUCUACGUCUGGAAACUUGGAAACUUUGCCAGCUGAGUCACUGUAUCGAACAAUAUGUAAUUAUCUGUAUUUUUUUCAUGCUUUCUACAUCAAGGUUUCUAAAUUGAGAUGAAAUGUGAAUAAAGGAAGAAAAUAGGGCAAUUUCUCUUUCUAAGUUGAUAUUCCUUAGAAAUAUAUUUCCCAAGUAAUUGUACUUUAUUUUAAUUAUAAUAAAUACAUGUUGGAUUUUAAUGACACUCUUCAGAAUAACACAAAGUGUAAGAACAUGGCAGAGGGAGAGGAAAAGGGCAAAGCUAUUUAAGGUAAUGGAGUAAUUUUUCACAGUGCGUGGUUAUUCCAUCCCUGAUAGGUAGAACAAUUGAGUGUAUUAAUUACAUGUGGGUUUUACUUUGCGUAUCUGGGUUAUUUGUCUCCACUUCUAUUUGGAGAGCAUUAAACUUUAAGUGGAUCCAGAAGGAAUGUUGCUCAAGCCAAGCCGUGUAUUCACCCAGGAAAUUAGAAAUCUUUGCAUCAGCUCUGACUCACACAUGUUCUUUAGAAGCCUGUAUUUACAGAUUCUUAAUUUUCUUAUUUUGCCACUGGGAUGUUAUGACUGAGAUUGCUGUCUCAGUGGUCUGAAGACAAUAUUUGGCAUUAUGGUCUUCUCACUUACAGAAGUAAUGAUGAAGAUGUUCACUCCAGUAAUGAGGGACCAAUCUCUUUCUUUUCAGAUUGCUUUCCUCAGGUGGUGGUGUUUUUGAACACUGACUUUGCUGAGGAGCCUCAGACUGGUGUGAAGCCAUUCUUAAAAAGUCAGUAAUGGUAAUGAACUGUAAAAACAAAUUGAUCUAACCAUGUAAAAUAUAGAAAGUAUUAAUUAUCUUUCACUUAUGAAUACAUUUAAGACCUACCUUGAACCUGUUAGACUGUUGUAACUGCAGUUGCCAAACUGUUGGAUAAAGCAUAUAACCCAAAAUCAUAGCAAAUACAGAGGAGAUAAACAACAAAAAAUGUAGUGGCCAUGACAGAAAAUUUGUCCUGGUUCUUCAUAGUGCAACAAAAAAACAGGCAACAACAAAAAAAUAACGCAUUAAGAACAUGGUCCUGAACUAGUCUGUGGUAAUACCUUUUUAUGCUCACUUUAUAGAAUUGGAAGACAUAUCAAAGCUGGGUCAUCUCUGCCCAUGACGUAUCCAUUUGCAUGGCAGUGCAGAGUUAGCUGCUCCCAGUUUCUUGUCUCCACUUCUCAGAUUUUAGAAGCUGGUGACACAUUGUUCCAGUGCCAAGUCCUGCAGACUAGAGAAGAGCUGGUUAAAUCUCUUGCCCUUGCACUACCAUUGCCAUGGAGGAUAAUUUGCUCUAAAAGCUGCUAAAGCUACAAUGCAGAAUCUAGCUCUGAGUAAAAUAGGUGAGCAGCCCUGUGCAUUUUCUAAAGCUAUAAAUCCUGUGUUUCAAAGUCCUUGGGAAUUUGAAAAGGGACUUCAGGUUGGCAGGGAACAGAAAAGAGUGACUUCUGCCUGAAGGACUGUAGUACUAUAGAAAAGGAAUAGGGAUGAGUGGGAGUAGAAAAAAAAAGGUUCACAUAAAGAGAAUAGCUUUUAUAAAAUUCAACAACAAACAUUUUUCAGUUUAAACUGUAAGUGGAAAGGGACAUGCCUGAGAUGAAAGAAAAGAAUGGAGACAGAUCAGUGGGUAAGGAGAUGAACCAGAGGAGCAGAGCAGAUGAGAAACGUCAGCAUGCUGAUGUGGGGAGAAUAAGGUUGAGAAUAGGCAACUGUUUACAGAUAGGUAUGUCUCAUCCUGAUGUGCCACAUCAUCAUUCAUCAUUUUUGAAACUGUCAACAUCAUAAGAGAAAUAGAUGAUGGAUGAAAUGAAUGUCAUUCAAAAAAUCAGAUUUCAGGUUAUUCAUAUGUGGGCAGAGAGCUAAGAGAUCUGGGUAAUGCAAACAGCAGGAGCUCCAUAAUAUAGGGAUUGUAAAAGUGGAACAGGGAACUGAUUUCUACGUGAUACAGUCAACUACCUCAAAAGCACAUUAAAAGAUGGACAACUGGAAGAAUUGACUGAUGCUUCUGGAAAUGUUAAAGAGGAAAUAAUAGCUGGUACAGCUCAAAGAGAAGAUAGCAGGUUGCAUGACAGUGGAGUUUCCCAUGCUCAGCCACCUGAAUGAGGCUGUUAAAUAACAAGCUCGACUCGAAAGCUAGGACGCUGCACAGAAAUAAAUGACGUUCUUCUCUUGAGUAACAGAUGGGAGGUUUUUAAUCUCUAAUUACUUCAGGCACAUGCCAGGCCUUUGAAUAAAGACUAUGACCAAAGAAUAUGCUUGUGAUCAGCUGGAAAUAUCCGGAGAGGAGAGAAACCCACAGAUAUGAAUUCACUACAGCGUGACAAUGAAACUUCAGUGAUGCAUUUAUAAUAAAAGCCAAAACAUUCCCAGGAUUUACCAGGAAAUAAAUAUUUUUAAUUGUGCAAGCUAUUGAUGAUAAUUUGUUUAUUUUAUACUGCAGUCAUUUAUAGUCAAUAAAGAUUCAGAACAGUCUGGACAUGGAUAGUGGCUACUAAGGUGGUCAAAGGAAUGCCCAGACUCUCAAUAGUGAGCCUAUUUAAUACAGGAAAAUAAGAGUGAAACAAAAAUUAAGAGCACUCUUGUGCUUAUAAAUUUCUAAUGAAAGGAAAUUCAGGAGUAACACGGGGUACUCGUGCUAUGGGACAAUGCUAGUAGAAGAACCAAGUACAUAAAGUGAUUGUGAAGAAGCUUUGGUUGAAAAUUCUAAAUACAAAAGUGGUGAUGGUAUAUAAAAAAUGACCUCACAGGAGUAGUGGGUUAAAAAAAAUUAAAUUUUGUUAAAAUGUAACAACCUUGAUAGGGUGUUCAUAGGGUGCUUAGACCUUGUAAAUCUUGUAGUAUCUGUGUGGAAUUUUCUCUGCUCACUUCCAUCACGUCUUCAAACACCCAUUCAAAACUCAUUGCAUCCAGACAACAUUCCUAAUGUCCAAAUGCUUUCUUCAGGGAGAUUUAUCUUUUAUGUUUUGUACCCAGAUAAUUUCUGUCAGGGAACUCUGCAGCCAGACUUCUGUAGACAAAUUUUGUAUUUGCACACUCUUUCCUCUGGCCAUUAGCUGCUAGUUUUCUUUGCCUGGUUCCUACACUCAAAAAAAUUAAAUUUCCCAGAUUCCCAGAGUUCUGCAUCUGGCCUCUGAGGCUUCAGACUAGUUUGACUUUGCCUCUUUCCUCAGUGUUGGCAGUUACAACUGAUCUGCAGUGAUCAAAGGCAGGAAGCAUCCAGCUCACACUCAUCUCCAGACUUCUGAUCUCAUUACAACAUAGUCCCUGAACAACCCUGACAUAUCAUUGAUUCGCUUGGCUGUGGUGAGUUGUACACCCACACAGAGGCUCACUGACUUCGUUAUGUUUUUGCUCAUGCAUGAUAUAUUGUUUUCCUUCCUUAGUUAGGGCAUCUUGUACAGAACUUCAUACCACUCGUAACUUCAGCAGAAAAAAAACAACAACAAAAAAUGUUGGACUUAGGCUGCCUUUUGUGCCUUUGUAAUACAUGACAUUGUUCUGAAAUUUAUUUCCUUUGUUUUUUUUGGUUAGUUUUCCCCCCUUCUCUUUAUUUCAUUUAUUUUUGCAAUAUAAAUUUGAGUUUUGUCUUUCAUCCAAGACGGUGUGAUGACAGAGGAACCACUGAAUUAUGAUGUCAUGACAGACUAAGGAGAAUACAAUUGAGAAAUUUGACAGGAAACUUGACUUCUCAUUGGACUGUAAACAAUCUUUUGUUUUUGAAUAUUUAACCGUUCCAAUGCAUUGAAUGAUAUUUUUCCAGUUCAAGUAAGGCAUGACAGGUCACAGUUAAAUUCCUAACAGCACCUCAGAAUUUCUCCCAGGCAAAAGAGGAGCAAUGGAACUGACUGUCAAAAUGAUUCAAAAGACAGCAGACACAUACUUGAAUAUGUAACGUGCUUAACCUAAUCUAACUAAACAUAAAACCAUUUAGGCUAAAAUCAUUACAAAGUAACAUCAAGUAGAAAAAGACCAAGCAAUCGUAGUAUUUCCAAAAUAAAGCAUUAAACAAAAUAAUCUUCAAUUUUCUUGCACAUACAGAAAAAAAAAAAUGCUAAUUUUCAUGUCACCACCAAGACCACCUUUCAGAUAUUCAGCAACUGAUUCUGCAGAAUCUCAAGAUUCCUUUAACCAUAACUAAAAAAUUAUGCUUAAUUUUCUGGAGAAAUUAUGAGUUGAUGAUUGCGAGUUCUGAAAACUAUAUUCUCAUUAAAAAAAAAAAAAGUUGGUUUUAAGUUUUACUUUGCUAGAGGAAAUAUGCCAUUUGAGUAAUGUUCCUAUAAAUAGCUACCACAUUUACAGGUUUUGUUAUCAAUAUCUGAUCUGAUCACAGACUACUUACUAACAAGCUAGUGAUACUUGUGGGUAUGAAUGGAAAUUCUAAAAAUACUUAUGAUCACAAAUUUUCAAUGUGAAGCCACUCAGUCUCCAAGAAAGGCCAGAAGGUGUCAAAAAACUUGAAGCUGUAUGGUGAUAUUAAGCCUCAAAAUGAGCAUUUUUUGUUCACUUUUUCCAAAUCAAUACCAUCAUGAGUAUCAUAUUGCAAAGUCUACCUCACGUUCUCUUGAAAUAUUUGUGUACUUAAGCCUUUAAGAGCAAAGUUCUAAUAUAUACAUUAUACUGGAUUACUUACUCUUCUCUUCUCAUAAAAAGCCACAGACUGAGACUGAGCUAAGAACAUAGCUUAACUGUUUGUGUGUAUGCGUAUCAGUAAGAAGGAAGAUACAACAUCUUCAUCUCAAGAUUGGAGAGACAUGGAUUUUAUUGAAUUUGAAGGCUGAACUACACUUUGGAAUUUGCAGACAGAGUGGUGUCCAGGGGUCUGUCUUUGGUCAAGUGCUCUUUAACAUCUUUGUCGAUGACAUAGUGGAAUCAAGUGUCCCUUCAGCAAAUUUGCUGAUGAUACCAAGCUGAAUGGUCCAGUUGACACAAUAGAAGAAAGGGAUGCCAUCCAGAGAGACCUGGACAAGCCUGAGAAGUGGAACCAUGUGAAUCUAAUGAGGUUCAGCAAGGCUAACUGCAAGGUAUUGCACUUCAGAAGGGACAAUCCCACAUACGCAUACAGACUGGCAGAGGAACUCAUUGAGAGCAGCCCCAGAGAGGACUUGGGAGUGUGGUGGGCAAAAAGCUUGACACUAGCCAGUAGUAAGCACUUGCAGCCUGGAAGACCAACUGCAUCCUGGGUUGCAUCAAAAGAGGGGCAGCCAGCAGGGAGAGAGAGAUUGUCCCCCUCUGCUCUGCACUCGUGAGGUCCCACCUGCAGUACUGUGUCUGGGGCCCUCAGGACAAGAAAAAUGUGGAGCUGUUGGAGUGGUUCUGGAGGAUGCCACAAAGAUCUCUCCUUUGAAGAAAGACUGAGAGAGCAGGACUUAUUCAGUCUAGAGAAGAGAAGGUUGUGGGAUACCUCAAUGUGGCCUUCCAGUGCUUGAAGUGAUCUUAUAAACAAGAUGGAGACUGACUUUUUACACAGUCUGAAAGCGAUAUGACACACGAAAAUGGUUUUGAACUAAAAGAAGAUUAGAUAUUAGGCAGAAAUUCUUUUUUCAGAGGGUGAUGAGGCACUGGGUAGGCUGCCCAGAGAGGCUGUAGGUGCCCCAGCUCUGGAGACAUUCAAGUCUAGGUUGGAUGGGAUCCUGAGCAGCCUGAUCUAUUAGGUGACAACCAGACUGUGGUAGGGAUUUGGAACUAGAUGAUCUUGUGGUGCCUUCCAAUCCAAGCCAUUUUAUGAUUCUAUGAUUCUAUAAGGAUAGAAUCUGUCAUUUAUCUACUGCUAUCUCUUCUGAUGUUUCCAAGAGUUGUUAUCCUACAGGUGACAUACCAUAAAAAUUUAUUCUUCUUUCAUUUUGGAAAACAUAUUGGCUGCUGCUUUAAUGUUCUCACUUCCAUUCUUUACUGGAAGUCUCUGUUUACUUAAGUUAAUUUAAAUGAUCCAUCAGAUGAAUCACAACGUUUUAAGUGCUGGCAGGAGGGGCAUUAAGAAAGGCACUAGUUUGCUUAAGGUCCCUUAAGUACGUAGACUGCAAAACAAACUCCAUACAGUUUCACAAGGAUAGUUGGAGUGCAAAUGGUUGAGUAAUGAAGACAGUAAAACAGCCCACAAUAACUUGGCUUCCUCAUAUAGUCCUAUCCAUAGGAAAAAAAAAAUCCUUAAAUGACAAGGGAUACACAUUUCGUUCAUUAUUUAUAUACUUCUCAUCAUGAAUAUGGGAUAAUAUAAAGAAAAAAUGUAUUAGACUCCUUGUGCUUCCAUUUGACAUACUAUAGCAGCCCUGAGUGGACUGGGAUACUGAACAUCCCUGUGAUGUUGUUACACCACUGAUGAUUGUAGUGUGGAGCGCUCCCAAACUUAUCAGCUGCUGCCUGCCCCUGGAUAGCAUUGCCUCAGAUUCCUUAAUCCCCUUGAUUCCUUGAGCAAGGCAUCCCUUUCUGAGUGAUGUAGGUAGCUUUGUCAGGUUGCUGAGUGGCUUCUGCUACCAUAUAUAGCAGAUAUUUCUCCAAGAAUGCUUAGCCUAUAGCAGAAGCUGCCCAGAUUACAACAGAGACAGAACAAGUAGCAACCAUGGUGAGAUCAGCCUCAGCACUGGUAAAGUCGGGCACCUGAAAUUAUCAUCCCAGAGUAAUUGACUGUUGGCAGACACCAUCCCAAGUAAGGAUCUGCAGUGAUCCACAGACAUUAAUCUCAAAUUAAUCCUAUUAAUCCUGAAUUAAUAUGACUAAGUCAUUGCAUGUAGAUUUGGUUGUUUUGCAUGAUUUUCAUAAAGAACAAAGUGUAAAAAGCUGUGAAUAGAUUGCACAUAUCUCCUGUUGUCUCAGACAGGAACAGGAACAGGUUGUCCAGAGAGGCUGUGGAUACUCCCUCCCUGGAGGCAUUCAAGGCUAGGAUGGAUGGGGCUUUGAGCAACCUGGUAUAGAACGGGGUGCCCCGGCCACUGCAGGGGGGUUGGAAUCAGAUGCUCUUAAAUGUUCCUUCCAAACCAAACUGUUCUACAAUUCUAUGAUUCUAUGAGAAUUUGAUGCAUUACAAAGGCGGAUGAUUUAUUGAUUGCUUAAUUAAGAACAAGUUAAGAAUCCGGAAAGAAUAUGCAAACCUACAUCCCACUUAUGAAAAGGAAUAUGUUUUUUUCUUGAGAAGGAAAAGAUAAUGUGGAAGAGUGAAGGAUUUGAGUAUGAAUAUACACUUGUGUAACCCAUGAAGGAACUGGGUAGAAAGUGUCCUACAUUCCCAAAAAUGCAGCUUUCUUUGAUAUUAGACAUUAAGGUAUUAAGAUUGUAUUCUGUGUCAUUAGUUUGAUAAGCAGCUAAACUGCCUGCUGGCAGUUACCAGACAAAGAGAAAUCAUGUAUAAACACAGUUAAUUUCUUAACUAAUCAAUCUUGUCCAUAACUUCUGUAACCAUCUUGCUGUGUUUGCAUUUUUUAAAUAAUAUAUACUUACUUGAUUUCACCCUAGCCUGGUCAAGAGUAAGGGUGAUUUCAAGGCAUCAGGCAAAUAUCAAAGCACAGAGUCCAAUCAGGCUUGCCAAUCUUUGCAUCAGAUGCUGUCCCACUCUUGUGAUACGAAGCAAAGCACACCGAUGAUUUGCUACCCUACUCCCUAGGCUAGCUAAUACUGGGAUACAAAAUAUUUCAAUUUAGUGAUAGAUAUUCUAUUGAUAGUUAGUGUCUAUGACAUAGGCUUUGCAGAUCAGAGCAGCAGAGAGAAAUUUUGGUCCUGGUAGUGUUAGAAAAAAAUGCUUGGUCUUCAUCAGAUAAAUAUACUCACAGCCUCAUAUUAACAAAGUGAAUGGAUAUGCCAGUGAGUAUAAAUAUGGGGCCUCACGUAUACUGGCUUGCAUCACCAGUUAGGUAUACGUAUCUGUCACGAAGUUAUCUAGAUCAAUCUAUGCCCAUGACAGGGGGGCAGUAGGCCCUUGGGCCCCCUGGCUCCCAAGAAUGGGAAGGGAAAAGGGAAAGGGGUAGGAAAACGGGAGUUGGGCUCAGAGAGGGGGAAAAGAACAGAGCAGCGGUAACAAUCUAGGGAGGAAAACUUACCUUACUAACUAUGAUAUUGGUAUGCAAGAUAACAUAAUAUAAUACAAUGUAAUUGAAAUUGAGGCUAAUAAAUCAAAUAAAAUGAGAGAGAAAGUUUCUGAAACCGAAAGGCCUACUUGAAUGAAGGCGCACAGCUUGGAAGCACACGCACCCCUCUGCCUGGCAGUGAGAGAGAGCCGAGAGAGCGCCAGAUCCCAUGAUUUCUGUGACGUAUCUUCCUUCUCUGACCGUGAGGUCCUCUGGGAUACAUAGUUCUUCUCUUUUGAGAAGCAAGUAUCUGGAAGGUUGUCAAUCCACAGAACUGGAGUAUUAACUCUUUUGUUACCCAUGCCGUACAUGACGUUAUGAUGUGGAAUACCAGUAGCAAAAUUACAAAGCCGUGACAGUAUCUUUACUUCAGUUCCUAUAUGAAAACUGUGAAAUAAAUAUUGUUUCGUUUUCUUAUUGUGAUUUUGCCAGUCCUAACAAGUAAGUGUGCAUUAUGAGAAAAGGAGAGAAAGGAAAACUAAAAAUCCCAAAGACUCUUCAGAAGAUCAGAGCUGAAAGCUCAUCACAGAGCUUUCUGGCUUGCUCUUUAUAAGGUUGACACAGUCCUCAACUGAUGAUAUUAUGAUACAAUGAAAGUAUUAAUGUGUUCAAGAAUUUUCAUCAGUUUUAGGACAGGCUGUUCAUCGUCUAGUAACAAGCAUUGCAAGCCCACCUGCUGUUCAGAAAUCUCAAAGUUUCAAUUGUUUUGCCAAAAACUGUGAACAAUACUAGUUUGGAUCCAGUAAGAAAUCACACAGCUUAAGUAAUGAACAACAAAUAGUCAAAGUAAACAAGUCACAAACAAUUUCAUAACACAACAAUGCAAUUGCCAUAGCAAGCACCAUUUAAAAUCACUAGCUGUGUCAACUAAAUGAGUCAGUGAUUGUUUAAUGAGAGUGCGAUUUGUUAAUAACAAAUGAGUGAUAAACACUCUGUUCAGUGGUUCAGAUUGCAUAACCAUCUCUGCUCUUUGGUCAGACAACUUGGAAUUUCAUGAAAACACUUGAAUCUCUUGCAAUGUUUCCAUGUUUCCUGCUCUGGCUAAAUUAGAAAUAUAUGAAAAUAUAUUUCUCCCACUGCUGUGUUACUUUUGCUAAUAGGUGCCAUCGGGAAAUAAAAAGACGUGCAAGUUGAUUAUUUAACCACUGGAAAUUGUAAAUUCAGUUCAACAAAAGGUUAAUAAUGACAUAACAUGAAUAAUGUUAUCUGAGGUAUCAUGCUGAUUUCAAUACGCCUUAUUUCCUUAAUUCUGAUGUCAACGUCUUGCAUCAUACUUCAAAACAUUCAAAGAUGUUUUACAGAACCCAAUGACCUUAUCUAGUCCUUUUACAUUCCUUUUCUUGAAUGUAUCUUCUGAAUGGCAUCUGUGUUUAAUUUUCCCAUUUAAUUUUCCCAGACUACAGUGUUCUUGAUUGAACCUGCAUUAGGUUGGAUUAACCAGAUGAUGAGACAACCUGUGAUGCCUAAGAAGUUAUUGUUCAAUAAAAACUUGGAAUACCUUUCAGAUAUCACGGGUGAUUGACUCCUAUUUUAUACAUGUGAACAGUAGAAUCUGUUUUCAGUUUGUGUUGAUUUUUAGAUAUUCUCUGUAAGAAUACAAAUGUUCUAAAACCAGAAUUUAUCUCAGCUCAUAUUGAUUAAAACUGCCUGAGUAUUCCUUCUUGAAAUCCAUUUGCAGAAGCAAAGAAGAAUGUCAGUGAAACUGUAAAACUAAACCUAUUCUGUAGUGUAUUUUUGUUUGUUUAGAGAGCUUCUUUUUUUUUUUUUUUUUUUUUUUUGGCAAAUCAAAUUUUGCCUGGAGUCUAGAAAACACAGCUCCGUACACAACAUAUUUGUUCCAAAUAAAAAAUUCAUUUAUAAGCGUUAGAGUACUUGUUCUGCAUUGCUACAGCCUCCUUUAACAAGCUGCCUCUUAAAUUCCAUGCAGGCCAGUAUUAGCAAAAACAUAGCUGCUAGUUAGGUAGAAGUGAUUAUUUCUAUCAGCUCCAUGAAGGGAGCUGGAAAAACCCUUUGCAUUAAGUGAGGCUGAGGGAACUUAAUAUUUGUGUUCUGCUACUGAACAGGAAUGACUGAACCAUAUUCUUCUCAGAGGUGCACAGGCACAUAUAAUGUCAAUAACCACAACUUGCAACAAGGGCAAAACACAAUAAUUUUCACAGUGAUGGUGGUCAGGCACUUAGCAGGUUGCCUGGAUGGCCACAAAAUCUCUCCCUUUGACAGUGUUCAGAAUCUCCCUGAUCAAGGUACCAAGGCACUACCCAGUGUUGUGCUGAGUUGGGAGUUGGACUGACAACGUCCAGAGGUCUCUUUCAGUCUAACUCACUGUAAAAUCUCAUGUUUUUAUCAAAAACUGGGAGUUUAAAUCACAUUAUUAUUUCAGAGCCUCAACAAACAUGAAGACAACUUUCAAAACUUUGCUUUCUUUCUUAUUAAUCUUUCGUUGUCAUCUCAUGAGAUGUCUCAGGAAAGCAUUUAAAACUCAUUAGCAUGAUUUCAGCUCCCCUCUGAAAAAAAAAAAAAGAACAUUUGUCUUCUGUUGGAGUUUGUUUAUUUCUUAUAAGCUUGUUGGUUGAUUGUAUAUUUUGCACUACAUCAGAUGUUUGAGUUAUUAUUUACAGUCCUUUCAGUGCUGUUUUCAUCUUCUGGAUAUUUUCCCAUAAAAUGUGAAAAUAACAAUUAUUGCAAAACAUCAAAAUAAAAUAAAUACA
ensembl:lncRNA